ACGCUUGUGGAGACGUCGCUGCC
rnacentral:siRNA from 1 species